UGGGGAAUUGUUCGCAAUGGGCGCAAGCCUGACGACGCAACGCCGCGUGGAGGAUGAAGACCUUCGGGUCGUAAACUCCUUUCGAUCGAGACGAAUGGCCUCCGGGUGAACAAUCCGGAGGAGUGACGGUACCGAGAGAAGAAGCCCCGGCUAACUCCGUGCCAGCAGCCGCGGUAAUACGAAGGUGGCAAGCGUUGUUCGGAUUUACUGGGCGUACAGGGAGCGUAGGCGGUUGGGUAAGCCCUCCGUGAAAUCUCCGGGCCUAACCCGGAAAGUGCGGAGGGGACUGCUCGGCUAGAGGAUGGGAGAGGAGCGCGGAAUUCCCGGUGUAGCGGUGAAAUGCGUAGAGAUCGGGAGGAAGGCCGGUGGCGAAGGCGGCGCUCUGGAACAUAUCUGACGCUGAGGCUCGAAAGCGUGGGGAGCAAACAGGAUUAGAUACCCAAGUAGUCCCUGAGCGGGCUGGCAAGGCGCAU
rnacentral:rRNA from 1 species